GAUGAACGCUGGCGGCGUGCCUAAUACAUGCAAGUCGAGCGAACAGACGAGGAGCUUGCUCCUCUGACGUUAGCGGCGGACGGGUGAGUAACACGUGGAUAACCUACCUAUAAGACUGGGAUAACUUCGGGAAACCGGAGCUAAUACCGGAUAAUAUAUUGAACCGCAUGGUUCAAUAGUGAAAGACGGCUUUGCUGUCUCUUAUAGAUGGAUCUGCGCCGCAUUAGCUAGUUGGUAAGGUAACGGCUUACCAAGGCAACGAUGCGUAGCCGACCUGAGAGGGUGGUCGGCCACACUGGAACUGAGACGCGGUCCAGGCUCCUACGGGAGGCAGCAGUAGGGAAUCUUCCGCAAUGGGCGAGAGCUUGACGGAGCAACGCCGCGUGAGUGAUGAAGGUCUUCGGAUCGUAAAACUCUGUUAUUAGGGAAGAACAAAUGUGUAAGUAACUAUGCACGUCUUGACGGUACCUAAUCAGAAAGCCACGGCUAACUACGUG
rnacentral:rRNA from 1 species